UACGGAGGAUCCGAGCGUUAUCCGGAUUUAUUGGGUUUAAAGGGUGCGCAGGUUGUUUGAUAAGUCAGUGGUGAAAGUCUGUCGCUUAACGGUAGGAUUGCCAUUGAUACUGUUAGACUUGAAUAUGGAUGAGGUUGGCGGAAUGUGUAGUGUAGCGGUGAAAUGCAUAGAUAUUACACAGAACACCGAUUGCGAAGGCAGCUUACUAAUCCAUCAUUGACGCUGAGGCACGAAAGCGUGGGGAUCAAACAGGA
rnacentral:rRNA from 1 species